GCUGAGAAGUUAGAGAGUGAUCACAGAGUCCUCCAGGCCACCCAAAAAACGUUGAAGGAAAUGCCAAGUUCCACAUCUCAUAGUCCUCCUAGAACCCCAGGAUGCCGGUGGGCGGAGUUGGGAGGGUCGUCAGCUA